rnacentral:ncRNA from 1 species
CUCGAAGACGAUCAGAUACCGUCCUAGUCUCAACCAUAAACGAUGCGACCAGGGAUCGGCGGAUGUUGCUUUUAGGACUCCGCCGGCACCUUAUGAGAAUCAAAGUCUUUGGGUUCCGGGGGGAGUAUGGUCGCAAGGCUGAAACUUAAAGGAAUUGACGGAAGGGCACCACCAGGAGUGGAGCCUGCGGCUUAAUUUGACUCAACACGGGAAAACUUACCAGGUCCAGACAUAGUAAGGAUUGACAGACUGAGAGCUCUUUCGAUGAAUGGAGAUGUAAAUAGAAGCAGAAAGGUGUACAUGUGUACGCGGGCAUACCCCGGAGAUGGUGCCACUCGACCCUCAUCGAUUGGGUGAAGUGGGCUAUAAAAACACUAUUCUAGUCACUGCUAGGGAGAUUCUCCUCCAAGCCUAAGACUACUAAAUAUAUUACAUAUUAACAAACCAAAAAUAAAACAUCAAAAACAUUGAAGCACAACUACAGUGUCACGAAAGCACACGCUGCUUCCGGUCAACGGUCAAAGGUCCACGUCAUCCAGUCAACAGCCUUGUCAUGUGUGUAGUCGGCGUCCACAUCAGCG